UGAAAAUGAAACAGCGCUCAGGUUUCUCUCUCCCACCGUAGAAAUUUCGAUCAGCUCCUAAUGCAGAAUAUUCACUCUUUGAAACCACUUCUGUCUUUGGAAGCCCUGGGUCAUGAACUUUUUUUGGUUUAUACGCUAUUCCUGACCUUCCUCUUCAGAAGCAGGAAUUUCCCAGCGGGGACCCACACGUCCAGAGGCCUUGAUUGGUUGUAACAAAAGUUCCAGUUCUUGCCUAAGAUGGAUGUCAAACAAAGAUGAUGUAUCGUGGCACGCUGGAAAGAGUGGUACCAUUAUUAGGGAACCCAGAUUCUUAGUGGUCUAUUUUGAAUGGAGCCAGCACCCAGAUGGCAUCGGCUUUAUGAGCUCAGGAUUGGCGGGAAGUCUGAGUUUGUAGGUUGAGCACCAUCUGGUGCACAGAGGUGAUACUGCAACCUUUGGGAAAACCAGUGCCAGUAGUAUCAAAUACCCUGUGAGGAAGGGAAUAGUCCAGUGUGAUACAGAGUAGAGAUGUAUCCUGGAGGGGCCUGAAGAAAGGGUUACCCCAGAAGCAGUAAUUUCUACCCCAGAGGGCCACACAACCUUAUGUGGACCUAGGACAGAAAAAAACCACAUGGCUAAACUCGGAGAGUUUUUGAACCUCGGUCUUCUGGAUGGAAAAAGGAAGAUUUCCUGGACAAUGUGAUCCCAGACUCCCAUCUUCUCAAAAAGAAGGGACAUUUUCUGGGCAGUGUGAGCCUUGGGGGGCAGGGGUCGUCUAUGAAGAAACUAUAGGUUGGAGAGUUUAGGCUUCUAACCUUUUAUGAAAAGAUAAGUUACUGGGUAGCAUUUGCCUGUUCAGGAGAAAAGAAGUUGGCACACAUAUGUGGCUGAAAUUGGGUAAUCAAUAGAGGAGUCUAAACCAUGAUAUGGAGCUGAACUGAUAAUUUAUGAAAUUAUGAAAUGCCUAUGAAAUAGGCACGCCCAGUUCUUUGAAUACUCGCUGGGAAAGAACGCAACUGGCAAUAGGGAAUGGAGUGGCGAUAACACUUUAAUUAGGCACAGGGGGUACUGAGACAAGAGGUGAAAGGGGUACAAAGACAGAUGGCAUGGUGAAGGUACAGGGGAUAGAAGGGUGAAGGGAGGCAGGCAGUGAUGUAGAAGAGGAGAGGGAGGAGGAGAGGCACAGAUAAUUACUUAUGUAUGUGGUUUAGAGUUUGGGAGCACUGAACAGCACAGACCCAAUGGAGAUGGAAAAGUAUUGGUGGGUAGCUGGGGGCAGGAGGUUGAGGUUUCAUUUUUAUGGUUCUUUAGGAGAAAACAGACUAACUCUUAUCUGUACCAUGUUGGGGUUUGUUCACUAACAUAUCCAAAUCAUCUCAAAGUUAUUAGCACUUUUUCGAUGUUCUGCCAGUUUGGAACUGUGAAAGUCUGAGGUUUACAAAUCGCAUGUGCUGCUGUCAGUGCAUAGAUGAUUUCUGCUGAUUCAGCACAUGUUACCAGGAUGUGAAUUUUGGUUAAUAUAUGAUACAAUUUGUAAAGUAUGCUCCUUUGGUCUUUGGGGACUUCCCAAUUAUUUCCUCUUUGUAAUCUUACUUCCUCCUAAGUGCUCCUUUAUUCUGGCUACUUGUAAACUUGCUAUACUGACUAGACGGAGAGGGAGUAGUCAGGGGGAUCAGAACAAGUCGCAAUUUUAACACAGGGACAAAAAGAUCUGGGCUUUGUUCCUAUUCAUACUAUGAGUUAUUUGGUCAAUACAGGUCAGGUGGGAAGAAGGUUGCCUGUUGCAUCCCCAAGUUCAUUUCCUUAUGGGGGACUCCAGCUCUCCCUAUGUAUUAGCAUAAGGCUGGAUGAUUUAUAGGUUCCUGAGAUAGAAUAGGACUCACCAGCUUGUCGGAUGGGGGGGUGCUCUGUGAGUGAUACCUAGCUUAUUUCUCUUCUGUGAGUCUAAAACACAAGGUGAAGUUCUAAAUUUGAGAGACUUUAGGGCUCAGUAUGGGGAAGUGGGGAGGAAUGGGAGCCACUGGAAAGUGAAGUGAAUUGCAUUAAUUAUUUAUGAGCUACUGUGAUUCUUUUAUGCAUUUUAUGUAUUUCUGUGGAGUGGAACAAAGGUCGUCUUGUACUCAAUAUACAUUAUUGUCUUAAAUACUUAAAUAGGACUUAGAGACCUUUUAACCCACAUAGGAUAGGAGGUGCAAUGCAAUCUUGGGCAGUCCCAAAGAUUGAACCUAAUCCAUUGAUGCCUGGAGGUUGAAUCUUAGGCCACUGGUUACAUCGUGGGCACAGUGAGUUAGGAUACUUGUCUAGAAUUGUGUUUCAUUCUGUCUGUUUGUUUUCCCCAGUAGUACUACUUGUCCUAGAAUGACAUGAGAAAAAAGAGUUCAAGAGAAAUUCCUCAAUAUGUACCAUAAGCAUUACCUCAUUUGAUUCACAUAACCCCAAGGUGUAGACAAUAGGGGUAUGGAGCGAAGAUAUGCAGCUACAAUCCUCAGCUUGUUUGAGAUGCAGAGGGGCAAUGUAAUUGGUGAAUGCUCCCUGGGAUAGAACUGGAUUUUAUUUGAUAGUGUGAGAAAUGAUUCUCUCUUAUAUUUAAUAACUAAUUAUUGUAUUGUGACCAAGGUUUUUUCCCUUUUCCACUUCCUCAUCUAGAAAUCAAUCUGUGUGAAAAAUCUUUCUGAAAGAUUUACCCAGUCUUAGAACUAAUCAGACAUUAAAAGAAAUUUUUAAGUUUAGGCUAAUGGGUGCAUUCCUGCUCAUUGUGUUUACUCAAACAGGUCUGGGAAAGUGUUGAUUCUUCCUUUUAUCAGACGGGUGAAAUGGAAAUUGAUAAGUCUCUUUGACCAAGAUUUGGCUGAUCCAAGUCAUAUGUGUGUGUGUGUCUAUGUGUGUAUGUCCAAGUCAUGUAAUAUAGCUCAGCCCCUCAUUGUAAUAUUCGUUUUCUCAUUGUUAACCAGAGUUGCUUGCCACCCCUCAGGAACACCUACUCUUCCAAGAGCAUAUAAAGUGUGAGCCCAUCACCAUAAAGGGUCUUUGGUCUAAGAGAGAUGUCCAAAUGACCAUCCUUUUAUUAAUAAACAUAAUGGCAUUAUUAAUAAAAUGAUUAAAUUACCCAGAAACUAUUUCUCACAGACUUUUUAAAUGCCACAAUAGACUUGUGGAGAAAUGCAAUGCAGGAUAUUCUCCCUUCAUUGUGGGUCUUUGAAGAUGAAAUCAAGAGGAAUUUGGGAGGCUACCAUGAUGGUUAGGGCUGUGUCUUCACCCUGUAUACUGUGCUAGAUUUAUGACACUACCGCAGUGCUGUGUUAAGGGUGAGCCUCUGGAGCAUUUUGUGGGGAUUUUGUUUCGGUGUGGGAUGGAAGGAAUAGAUCAAUGCAUAGUAAAGCUUCUGAUCCUGGGAGAAAUGGUCCCCAAAUCCUAGAAUUAGCAUCGUGCUGUGUAACCGUCACCUCUGAAUAUUACUGCAGUGUCUUCAGUGUUUUGUAAUGUCGUUGUGAGUUAACUGCAUGCAUUCAUUUCUGUUUCAUAGAAAGAUAGUCUAAAAAUGAGAUUGGUUUACCUAGCAUCAAGAACAUAAGAAAGAGACACAUGCCAUGGAAAGGGAUUUCAACAUGGCACAGUAGAAAGGAUACUAGAUUUGGAGUCCCAGAACCUGGGAUUGCCACUUGAAAUCAGUGUGACAUUGGGCAAGUCAUUCAAACUCUUAUGACUUUAGUUUCCUCAUAUAUAAAAUGAUGGGAUUGGGCUAAAGGACCUAAUAAGAUUUUUUUCUCCAUAGCUUUAAAUAUAAUAUUGUAUGAUCCUUUGGGAAAGACCAAGAUUGCAAUAAAAUGGAAUGUACAGCUUACUAGAGGAAAUUAAUGAUUCUGCAUCUAAUUACCUUUUAUCUAAUCCAAUUAAAUGGUUUUAAUGA